AGCGGCAACAGCUCAUAUUUGAAAUCUGGCCCCCCGGCCCGAGUUGUAAUUUGCAGAGGAUGCUUUUGGUGAGGCACCUACCGAGUCCCCUGGAAUGGGGCGCCAUAGAGGGUGAGAGCCCCGUAUGGUAGGACGCCGAACCUCUGUAAAGCUCCUUCGACGAGUCGAGUAGUUUGGGAAUGCUGCUCUAAAUGGGAGGUAAAUUUCUUCUAAAGCUAAAUACCGGCCAGAGACCGAUAGCGCACAAGUAGAGUGAUCGAAAGAUGAAAAGCACUUUGAAAAGAGGGUUAAAAAGUACGUGAAAUUGUUGAAAGGGAAGCGCUUGUGACCAGACUUGCGCCGGGCGGAUCAUCCAGCGUUCUCGCUGGUGCACUCCGCCCGGUUCAGGCCAGCAUCGGUUUUCGCCGGGGGACAAAGGCUUCGGGAACGUGGCUCCUUUCGGGGAGUGUUAUAGCCCGUUGCGUAAUACCCCGGCGGGGACCGACGACCGCGCUUCGGCAAGGAUGCUGGCGUAAUGGUCAUCAGCGACCCGUCUUGAAACACGGACCGAGGAGUCAAGCAUUAGUGCGAGUGUUUGGGUGUAAAACCCGCACGCGUAAUGAAAGUGAACGUAGGUGAGAGCUUCGGCGCAUCAUCGACCGAUCCUGAUGUUUUCGGAAGGAUUUGAGUAGGAGCAUUAACGCUUGGACCCGAAAGAUGGUGAACUAUACUUGAAUAGGGUGAAGCCA
rnacentral:rRNA from 1 species